rnacentral:rRNA from 1 species
CCCUUAGAUGCUCGGGGCCGCACGCGCGCUACACUGGUCGAUGCAACGAGUUUCUUUCCUUGGCCGACAGGCCUGGGCAAUCUUUGAACAUCGAUCGUGAUCGGGAUAGAUUCUUGUAAUUUUUGAUCUUAAACGAGGAAUUCCUAGUAAACGCAAGUCAUCAGCUUGCAUUGAUUACGUCCCUGCCCUUUGUACACACCGCCCGUCGCACCUACCGAUUGAAUGGUCCGGUGAAAUCUCCGGACUGGCGUGAGUCGGAGCAAUCUGACAAACGCCGGAAAGUUGAUUAAACCUUACCAUUUAGAGGAAGGUGAAGUCGUAACA